AUUGAACGCUGGCGGCAUGCCUAACACAUGCAAGUCGAACGGUAACAGGAAGAUGCUUGCUUCUUUUCUGACGAGUGGCGGACGGGUGAGUAAUGUCUGGGAAACUGCCUGAUGGAGGUGGAUAACUACUGGAAACGGUAGCUAAUACCGCUUAACGCCGCCUGCCUAAAGUGGGGUGGCUUGGUGCGUCUUUUCAUCGGAUGUGCCCAGCUGGGCUUCGUUAGUAGGUGGGGUGGCUGCUCACCUAGGCGACGAUACGUAGCUGGUCUGAGUGGAUGACAGGCCACACUGGAACGGAGACACGGUCAAGACGCCUACGGGAGGCAGCAGAGGGGAAUAUGGCGCAAUGGGCGCAAGCCUGAUGCAGCCAAGCCGCGUGUAUGAAGAAGGCCUUCGGGGUGUAAAGUACUUUCAGCGGGGAGGAAGGGAGUAAAGCUAAUACCUGUGCUCAGUGACGUUAACGGCAGAAGAAGCACCGGCUAACUACGUG
rnacentral:rRNA from 1 species